GCUCUUCCAAACGAUCUAUUCCAUUUACUAGAAUUUGAGGAUGGAAUACAAGUAGUACCUAAUAAUUGGGUACAAAAAGAUAUCAACAAAUGUUGGUAUCCCAAUUAUAAAACAGAUCAACAGAUAUCAUUAAAGCAAUAAAAGAAACGACAAACGCGUCAAGAUAAUUGGUUGAUGUAUCCAAUUAAAAGAGUAUUUGGUAUAUAUGACUCCUACAGUCAAGCAAUAAACUAAAAAAAGCAGAAAUGAAUUCCGAUAUUAAUACCGAUACUGACGACAAAGCACAAAGAAAAAUCAGAGCCAGAAAACAGAUUGAUAUUGAUGAUGAUGAAAGCGAUGAUGAUCAUGAUAGUGAUCCUCUCCGCCUACCAUCAUAUCCGAAAGCGCCUAUAGUUGUUUAUACGAAUACGUACACAGGAGAUGCACGCAACAUACCCAAAAAGGAGCUAAAGAAUAUAUUAAAAUUAAGUAGGCCAAUUCAAUAUAGUAUAUUUUCAGUCAAGAUGUCAAUUAGCAAUUCUUUAACUGACUAUUUUUUAUUUUAAAUAAUCUGUAUUGUAAAAUUUUUUAAAUAUAUGUAUAUACACUGCUAAUACAAUUAUUCCCGUAGUCCUGAUAUUACUGCCAACACUGAAAAUCUAUAGGUCACGUUACGUGAACUAUAGAUUUCCAGUACUGGCAGUAAUAUCGGAACACGGCCUUUAUAUACUCUUUUAGAUAUAUACAAAGGAGAUAUCCAAGGAUCUCCCAUCUCCCAUAGAGAGAUACCCAAAAGAGAUAACCAUACACAAAAAGGAAAUGAAGAAUAUAUUACAAUUGAAAAUUAUCUUCAUCAUAUGGAUAGAACGUUAGCAGAUAUAAAAUUUGACAUAAAUCAACUCAUUGAGCAAUAUCAACUUAUAUUGACUAAAAUGAAUUCAAAUAAUGAUUUCAAUCUGACGCGAGAAUGUCAUAGCCCUUUGCCAAAUGAUGAAUGAAGCAAAUUGUCUCUCCCUCUGAAAACUGUAGAAGAACUAGAAUAUUUACAAGGCAUGCUUUUUUCAAAUGAAGAAGGAUUAAAAGAGCGUAUGUUCAGCAUAUUGGCAGCUAUUGGUGGAUGUACUUACGAAGAAAUGGUUAAAAGAAUGCUUAUAUAAUAUAUAUUUUUACGAAUGAAGUAGCUAGUUUGUACAGUUGGGUGGGAGGAAAGGGAAAACGAAAACUUCAUCAUUUAGAGAUAAUGAAAUUAAUGUUUAAAGUCAUCAGGAAGACAUUCCCUAAUGUCACAGAGAAAGAUUUUGAAACAAAAUGUAAAGAUUGGUUUCGACACGCGAAACACAGAUUCGAGAAUGAAAAACGGCGGCAAAGUAAUUCGACGCAGCAAUAACCAGUUGCCAGAAGCAUAAUUUUUACAUCGAAGCAACAAUUAUUAUAUGCAAUUGCUGAACGCUCAUGUGACACCGACGAAUAUUCAUAUAACGCCUGUGCAUCCGAUCAACCGCAGCCGUACAUAUUAAGCUAUCCUAACAUAAGAUUUUAAUUGUCCACAUAUCUGCCAUCAUCGUCCGGGAUUAUGGAAAAGUUUCAACCGCUGAAGGAAGACUUUGCUAUGCUUUAUGUAGCGCUCGAGGAAGAGCUGAAUGUGCAGACGUACAACCACGACAAGAUCGUGUCGUUCGUUGGCUUAGCAUGGGACGCGAUCAUAAGAGAAAAUGUGACUGCAACCGCUCGUAUAGUUUUAUAAUGGACAAUGAAAGUGAAAGUUGUCGAAACGAAGGCAAUAACAGCAAUUUUUGUAUUCGUAAACCAUUUCCAUUACAAAUUAUAUUUAGUUAGUUUUUUUCAAGUCUUUUAGUUAAAUUGAGUCGAAAUAUUAAAGAUCAAAAUAUAUAAAAAGA